AUUGAACGCUGGCGGCAGGCCUAACACAUGCAAGUCGAACGAGUGGCGGACGGGUGAGUAAUGUCUGGGAAACUGCCCGAUGGAGGGGGAUAACUACUGGAAACGGUAGCUACUACCGCAUACCAUCAGAUGUGCCCAGAUGGGAUUAGCUAGUUGGUGGGGUAACGGCUCACCAAGGCGACGAUCCCCAGCUGGUCUGAGAGGAUGACCGGCAACACUGGAACGAGGACAGGGUCCAAACUCCUACGGGAGGCAGCAGUGGGGAAUUUUGCACAAUGGGCGCAAUCCUGAUGCAGCCAUGCCGCGUGUAGGAGGAGGGCCUUCGGGUUGUAAGGUACUUUCAGCGGGGAGGCGUUACCCGCAGAAGAAGCACCGGCUAACUCCGUGCCAGCAGCCGCGGUAAUAC
rnacentral:rRNA from 1 species